rfam:Gemmatimonadetes bacterium GWC2_71_9 gwc2_scaffold_9192, whole genome shotgun sequence.
GGAUGGGUGGCCGAGCGGUUUAAGGCGCACGCCUGGAGAGCGUGUGGGCUCCACAAGGGCCUCGUGGGUUCGAAUCCCACCCCAUCCG